GUUUUAAUCAGAAUUAUAUAUAUUAUUGAUAUAUAUAGUUUUCUUUUUUUUGGUCAUGUUCUUUAUUUUAUAUUUUAUUUAUAUCUAGGUAAUACCAGUUAGUAAUUCGUUAUUAUUUCAUCGGGUAUCGUUUGCUUUAUUGUAUUUAUGAAGCUUGAUGGGCUAAAUUCAAUUUUUUUAUGUUUUUGUUU
rnacentral:sRNA from 1 species